rnacentral:lncRNA from 1 species
CGGUUAGGGGUGGGCGUCCGGACCCGAAAACCCGAUCCGAACUGAGUCAAAAAGCCCGAUUCGGUUCGGUUUUGACUUUGAAAAUAUCGGUUCGGUCUAGGGCCCGACCUGAAUAUAUUUUCUCUGUUCGGUCUCGGGCCUCAAAUAUGCAGAGACCGAAAGCCCGAACCGACCCGUAUUUAGUUUCAAUUGCCACUGUCUGUCUCGGCCUUUCGAAACCAUCUCAGCUUCUCUCACUCUCCUCCCAAGCCAGCUCCUCCUCCUCCUCCUCCUAAACCUCCAUAGACUGGACCCGACCUCCUCCUCCUAAUCCUUCUUCUCCCGCUCAAAGAAGCUAGCUCGGAUCGUUGACUGCACCCGCAUCUUCAGCAACCCGUCGACGGCAAAUCAGCACCUUGUUCCAAAUUGGCCUAAGGCAACUCCCUAGCUCACCGCCACGACAAGCAGUAUUGAAGCUGAAAAGGAGAGGGCUCGCCGUUUUGCCCACAUCGAAAUCCCAUA